AAACUUUCUCCGACCCUAUCUCGGGAUGCUACGGCUCAGGUCGUGGUGGUUUCGGGAACCUCAAGACAACAUUCCCCAGCUGACCUUUGGGAACUUUAACUCGGGUCGUCAUGUACGGAAAGGUAGUCUAUGGGGUACGCAGAAUGGAAAAGGGCUUCCACAUCAGUCGUGUCCGAGGACGCUCUCCAACUUUUGAUGUCCCUGGAGAGUUUCUGAUAUUUCCCUGGAGAGUUUCAGAAAGGAUUUCUUCCGACAGACGUGACCCCAGAAGGCUGCCGAGGGAGACUUUAGGACAAGAGGCGUUGUUUUUUUAGGGAAGGAAGAGGAGCCUGUGCAGAGUUGAACUGGGGUGGAGAGGUGCCUUGUAAAGUAUGGUUUCCAGAGAUGUUUCAGCGUGGCCGCAUUUGGAAAAGGCUGAAGGUAGAAAACUCUGGAAUGGAGAGGCUGGCGACUGGAGCAGGAUCCAGGGGCUUUAAAUUUUAACCUGAAUGCGAUCGAAUGCGCGACUCCCAGAAGAGAUAGCCAGGCGUCCGCCCGGCCGCUCAACCCCCGCCAGGACUCGGAAUGCCUUGCUUUUGGUUCUUUUCUACAAGGAUGUCUGCGUGGAUAUCCCUGGACACUCGAUACCCCCCGGGGACCUGCUUUUCCCGCAGCUCCGCAGACGCGGCGGGAGGGCGCGCUGGCCCCGGCGCUGCUGGGACAGAGGUGAGCAGCGGGGUGGACAUUGACCGAUUCGACAACGUUCGGGCUCUAAGGGCUCGGGAAGGGACCCGGCAUUUUACCCUCCAGAUUCCCAAUCUAUUUUUAAAAAUAAUGUUCAAAACAUAUGGGAAAAAUAAGUGAUUGCUCCUUUUCAUGGUCACAGAUUGUAUUUAUUUUUUCAGACUGGUUUUCCAACCUAACGAGGGAAUGGGUAGUGAAUGUUGUUGUUGUUGUUGUUGUUUAUGUUGGUUAAUUUCGAAAUAAAACUGUUUAACUCGUACAGUUGAUUCAGACAGAAAAC
rnacentral:lncRNA from 1 species